rnacentral:rRNA from 1 species
GACGAACGCUGGCGGCGUGCUUAACACAUGCAAGUCGAACGGAAAGGCCCUGCUUUUGUGGGGUGCUCGAGUGGCGAACGGGUGAGUAACACGUGAGUAACCUGCCCUUGACUUUGGGAUAACUUCAGGAAACUGGGGCUAAUACCGGAUAGGAGCUCCUGCUGCAUGGUGGGGGUUGGAAAGUUUCGGCGGUUGGGGAUGGACUCGCGGCUUAUCAGCUUGUUGGGGGGGUAGUGGCUUACCAAGGCUUUGACGGGUAGCCGGCCUGGGAGGGUGACCGGCCACAUUGGGCCUGCGAUACGGCCCAGACGCCUACGGGAGGCAGCAGUGGGGAAUAUUGCACAAUGGGCCGAAGCCUGAUGCAGCAACGCCGCGUUCGGGAUGACGGCCUUCGGGUUGUAAACCGCUUUCGCCUGUGCCGAAGCGUGAGUGACGGUAAUGGGUAAAGAAGCACCGGCUAACUACGUG